rnacentral:rRNA from 1 species
AGCAGCCGCGGUAAUUCCAGCUCCAAUAGCGUAUAUUAAAGUUGCUGCAGUUAAAAAGCUCGUAGUUGAAUUUCGGGACUGAUAUGUCGGUCGUGCCUCGGUACGUACUGGUAUUUUUGGUUUCUCCCUUCUGACGAACCUUGAUGUCAUUAAUUUGGUGUCUUGGGAAAUCAGGACUGUUACUUUGAAAAAAUUAGAGUGUUUAAAGCAGGCUCACGCUUGAAUACAUUAGCAUGGAAUAAUGAAAUAGGACGUUUGAUUCUAUUUUGUUGGUUUCUAGGAUUGACGUAAUGAUUAAUAGGGAUAGUUGGGGGCAUUAGUAUUCAAUUGUCAGAGGUGAAAUUCUUGGAUUUAUUGAAGACUAACUACUGCGAAAGCAUUUGCCAAGGAUGUUUUCAUUAAUCAAGAACGAAAGUUAGGGGAUCGAAGACGAUCAGAUACCGUCGUAGUCUUAACCAUAAACUAUGCCGGCUAGGGAUCGGAUGAUGUUAAUUUUUAAUGAUCAUUCGGCGCCUUACGG